AUUGAACGCUGGCGGCAUGCCUUACACAUGCAAGUCGAACGGUAACGGGCCUUCGGGUGCCGUCGGGUGGCGGACGGGUGCGUAAUACAUCGGAACGUGCCCGAUCGUGGGGGAUAACGAGGCGAAAGCUUUACUAAUACCGCAUACGAUCUACGGUUGAAAGCCGGGUGCUUCAAGGCUUUACGCGGGCGUUGCGGCCGCUGGCAGAUUAGGUAGUUGGUAGGAUAAAAGCUUACCAAGCCGACGAUGUGUAGCUGGUCUGAGAGGAUGAUCCGCCACACUGGGACUGAGACACGGCCCAGACUCCUACGGGAGGCAGCAGUGGGGAAUUUUGGACAAUGGGCGAAAGCCUGACCGAGCCAUGCCGCGUGAAGGAUGAAGGCCUUCGGGUUGUAAACUGCUUUUGUACGGAAAGAAAAGCCUUCUUUUAAUACAGGAGGGUCAUGACGGUACCGUAAGAAUAAGCAACGGCUAACUACGUG
rnacentral:rRNA from 1 species